rnacentral:rRNA from 1 species
UGGGGAAUAUUGGACAAUGGGCGAAAGCCUGAUCCAGCCAUGCCGCGUGUGUGAAGAAGGUCUUCGGAUUGUAAAGCACUUUAAGUUGGGAGGAAGGGCAGUAAGCGAAUACCUUGCUGUUUUGACGUUACCGACAGAAUAAGCACCGGCUAACUCUGUGCCAGCAGCCGCGGUAAUACAGAGGGUGCAAGCGUUAAUCGGAAUUACUGGGCGUAAAGCGCGCGUAGGUGGUUCGUUAAGUUGAAUGUGAAAGCCCCGGGCUCAACCUGGGAACUGCAUCCAAAACUGGCGGGCUAGAGUAGGGCAGAGGGUGGUGGAAUUUCCUGUGUAGAGGUGAAAUGCGUAGAUAUAGGAAGGAACACCAGUGGCGAAGGCGACCACCUGGGCUCAUACUGACACUGAGGUGCGAAAGCGUGGGGAGCAAACAGG